GCCGCGCGCGUGCUGGGCAGGUAGAGGCUGGAGCGGUCAGGAGCAUGCCUGGCUCCUGGUGCCUCUCUAUGGAGAGCACCUCUGUGCCUCUCUGAGAGCACUCACAGCCAAAAGUACACAGCUGCCCCCAGGCUGAGAGUGCUUGAUACACCCUUGAAUCCCCUCUUAUAUGAUGCCCCAGCCCAGGAGAGAUAAAAGCAUCAGCACCAUGAGAUUCACCUGCCUCUGGUCGUUAGGGAACAAUGGAGGCCUGCGAUUUGGAGUUAAACUCUCAGUGAUCUCUGUGUUGACAACACCAAAGCUAGAGGAAUCCAGUAGGAUGUGGGCAUGGUUUUCCCGGAAGGCUGACUGAGCAGUUCUGCAAAUGUUUGCAAGUACAGGGCAGAAUUUCAUCCAGCCUCAGAACCUUGAGCCAAGACUCAGCAUCAGCAAAGCCAAAAGUUUCAUUUCUUCGACUGUGGGAGUGCUAGUCCCAACCUUUAGAUGGCCAUUCAGUUUUAAGUUCAAUAAGCAUUUUGAUUGAGAAAUACUUUGCUGAGGAGUGAAAAGUCCUUGGCUUUGAAAGACGAAUGAUGAGCAGUUCAGUGGCCCAUGUCACAGUCCAGGCACCUGCCAAAGGUGACUCCCUGGGAGGAGCAUCUUAGUCACAGAGCCAGUGCCUGCUGUAGGUGUGCAGAAGGGUGCAUGUGUGUGUGUGUGUGUGUGUGUGUAUGUGUACGUGUACAUGUGUGUUGGGGGAAGGGAGCAAGGUUGUGGGAGCAUUUCUUAUCUGCUCUUCUCUGCAAGAUUUCCUGUGAUUUAAGUCACAUUAAAGUACCCAUAAGCCCGUAAUGCAAAAGAACCCCAAAACCAGCCCAGCAGCCAACCAUGGCAGCAAGUAGAUGCUCUGGUCUUUAGAUAGUCAGAAAUGACACUUCUGGGCUCUCAGGCAGUCAGUGGGUUGAGCUCCCCAUUAAAGUCCCCCUGCCAAGUCUGGAAUAGUCCUAGUCCCGUGUGUGUGUGUGUGUGUGUGUGUGUGUGUGUGUGUGUGUGUGUGUGUACCCGCGUGCAUAUGCGCGCAUGCAGUGCAGGGUCUGCAUACCUAAAGCAGAUGAAAUUCUGCAGAAUGGCUGCCUCACUAGACAAAGUCAAGAAGACAGACCGAGGAGAGAGAGGUUGAUGUGUCUCCACUACCAAGAGAUAGGCUUCUCUAAGCCAGCGAGACAUCCCAUCCAACAAUAUGAAACUGGCCACAUUUCCUUGAGAUGUCAACGUUGAAAGUGUAGCUGCAUCUUUAUUCUUCACUGUUAUGAAGUUGGGUGCAACACAGCUUGAGUGGAAUACAAAAACACCGCUUGGAAACACAUGAUCUGGAUUUGAAUCGCAGCUGUAUCAUUCACCUGCUAUAGACUUUGAGCAAGACCUCUCUGAGGUUAUUUCUUCACAGUAGGUAGAGACAAGACUUACUUCAAAGGUUCUUAAAGUUGAACCUGAGUCAAUGAAUGCAAAAGUGUUCACAUUUAAACUGUAAUUUUAAAGCACAAUACAAGUAAAUAGCAUUAAUAUCAUUAGAGAGAUUAACUUAGCACUGUGCGUCACAUGAUUCAUCACGGGCCAUCUGUGAGAUAUCAAAUAGAGAGGUGAAGCCUGCAGUAAUAAAAAAUACUGCCAUAGCUAUAACCAGUGUACUCUUCUCUUCCUAAACAAACAACAAACAAAUCUUGCCAGAGUCAAAAGGCAACAGUUUCGACUGCUUUUUCUGUUUUCUUGAAAGACAGAAGUCAAGCUUAGUCCCUUCUCUAUGAGAAAUGGUGAAGGAGGCACUCUCUUUGUUAGAGCUAUGGAGUGUGGCCAUGUGUGGAUCAAGCCAACGUCCUGCCUUCACUGGGCUCACAGACAACACUCACAAAUGUCACAGAGCUCAGAUCACCCCUCUCCAACACUUUUUCCUUCAUCAAAGAAAGUGCGUCCAAAUGCAAAUGAGAGCAAUGAUACCGUAUGCAUACCCAUGAAUCCACUCUUUGCUCAUUCUUAUUUUGAAUGCACUCCUAUUUCAAACCUUUGGUACUUCCUAUUAUUGAUAACAAAUUACUUCACAACCGAUUGACAUGUGAUGGCACAACUGAAAGUCAAGAUUGAGGACAAAUGUCUGCAGCCGUGGGUGGGGGCAGGAAUUUGUUUUAUGCAUCUUAGUAUUUCCAAUGCCCAGGUAGAUGCUCAUUGCUGACUUGAAUUGGCCCUAGCCUGGGAAGGAGAAACCUCACAGCUCCCUACCCAUGAGCUCUGGGGCCAUUCCUAAUGCAGAGGGGCUAGUUGGGUAGUCAUAGCCCUUUUAGGAGCAUCACAGUCAUGACAAGAGACCAGAAAUGGCCUCUACAGGAGAUUUCAAUGUAGGACAAACCAGCUCCCUUCACACUCUGUGGUAGUGACAGUUUUAAGUGGAGGAGUAAGUGCCCAGCUUCUUUCAUGCCUGCCUUUGAAGAGGGUGGCCUCUUGCCAGCAAGAAGUGUCUGAGGUUUGGGUGGGUGAGAGCUGGAUGAAAUGAGUGUGUAGGUGGUACUGCCCAGGGAAUAAAUGUGAAAAGCCAAAGCAAACCUUCAAGUGCACAGCAAAGAGAUGCAUUCUCAGCUGUGUUCCUAAAGACAUUCAAAAUCACAUGCGUCUAUCUGGGUCAUGUGGGC
rnacentral:lncRNA from 10 species